CCAAAGGCUCUUUUCAGAGCCACCCACAUGCGCGCUGAAAAGAUCU
rfam:Gorilla gorilla gorilla genomic chromosome, chr6, whole genome shotgun sequence